CCUACGGGAGGCAGCAGUGAGGAAUAUUGGUCAAUGGGCGCAAGCCUGAACCAGCCAAGUCGCGUGAGGGAUGACGGUCCUAUGGAUUGUAAACCUCUUUUGUCGGGGAGCAAGGCCCGCCACGUGUGGCGGGAAGGAGAGUACCCGAAGAAAAAGCAUCGGCUAACUCCGUGCCAGCAGCCGCGGUAAUACGGAGGAUGCGAGCGUUAUCCGGAUUUAUUGGGUUUAAAGGGUGCGUAGGCGGAAGGUUAAGUCAGCGGUCAAAUGUCGGUGCUCAACACCGGCCUGCCGUUGAAACUGGUCGUCUUGAGUGAGCGAGAAGUAUGUGGAAUGCGUGGUGUAGCGGUGAAAUGCAUAGAUAUCACGCAGAACUCCGAUUGCGAAGGCAGCAUACCGGCGCUCAACUGACGCUGAGGCACGAAAGCGUGGGGAUCGAACAGGAUUAGAUACCCCAGUAGUC
rnacentral:rRNA from 1 species